GACAGAGGGUGCAAACGUUGUUCGGAAUUACUGGGCGUAAAGCGCGUGUAGGCGGCAGGGCAUGUCGGAUGUGAAAUCCCGUGGCUCAACCACGGAAGUGCACCCGAAACUGCCCAGCUGGAGUCUCGGAGAGGAAGGCGGAAUGCUUGGUGUAGAGGUGAAAUGCGUAGAUAUCGGGAGGAACACCUGUGGCGAAAGCGGCUCACUGGACCACAACUGACGCUGAGGCGCGAAAGCUAGGGGAGCAAACAGG
rnacentral:rRNA from 1 species